rnacentral:misc_RNA from 1 species
GAUGAAGAACGUAGCGAAAUGCGAUAAGUAAUGUGAAUUGCAGAAUUCAGUGAAUCAUCGAAUCUUUGAACGCACAUUGCGCCCCCUGGUAUUCCGGGGGGCAUGCCUGUUCGAGCGUCAUUUCACCACUCAAGUCUCGCUUGGUAUUGGGCAACGCGGUCCGCCGCGUGCCUCAAAUCGACCGGCUGGGUCUUCUGUCCCCUAAGCGUUGUGGAAACUUUCGCUAAAGGGUGUUCGGGAGGCUACGCCGUAAAACAACCCCAUUUCUAAGGUUGACCUCGGAUCAGGUAGGGAUACCCGCUGAACUUAAGCAUAUCAAUAAGCGGAGGA